AACCUUUUGAUUACCUAUAACAAGGGUAGGCAAUCUUUUGCCCUCCAGAGGUCGUGGACCUAAUCUCUCAAUACUGGCAAAGCACCGGGCGAUAUGUAGUCUACAACAUCUGGAAUGACAAAGGUUUCUUACCUCUGGCCUAUAUAGGCAGGGCAUAAAGUGGUAUUACUUGCCUUGUUAAUCAAAGGAUUGAUAUUGUACAUGUGGUAUUGCGAAACCUGGGAUAGAAAUGACUUAAAAUAGCUAUAUAAACAGUAACAUGAACAAUUCAAAUACUAUAUUAAGGUGUUUGUAAAUUGUAAAACACUGUUGGAUAUUUCAUACAGUUCUGCGUAAAUGGACACUAUAUAGUCAUCAGAACAACUACAGCUUAAUGUAGUUGUUCUGGUGAGUACAGUCUGGACGUGAAGACUUUUUGCAGUUAACAAUGCAGUGUUUACAUUACAGCCUAGGAAAACCUCCAGUGGCUUCUCAGAGGGUCACUGGAGGAGUUUCCUGGGUCAGUGCUGUACGGUGUGAAGUUUCCCAAAGAGAUGCAUUGAUUCAAUGCAUCUCUUUGAGUAGAUGCUCAUUGGCCAGGGAGCUGUUUCGCUUUGCCCCCUGGCCUGCAACUUUGGCUGAGGAAAACAGAAUUAAUCAUCUCAGCCAAUCACAAUGCUUUCAUCAGCAAUUAUCUCA